AGAGCGAACGCUGGCGGCAUGCUUAACACAUGCAAGUCGCACGGCUGGGGUAACUCAGCAGUGGCGGACGGGUGAGUAACGCGUAGGUAUCUAUCUCUGGGUGGGGGACAACCGUGGGAAACUACGGCUAAUACCGCAUGAAGCCUGAGGGCCAAAGCAGCGAUGCGCCUGGAGAGGAGCCUGCGUACGAUUAGCUAGUUGGUGAGGUAAAGGCUCACCAAGGCGACGAUCGUUAGCUGGUCUGAGAGGAUGAUCAGCCACACUGGGACUGAGACACGGUCCAGACUCCUACGGGAGGCAGCAGUGGGGAAUAUUGGACAAUGGGCGCAAGCCUGAUCCAGCAAUGCCGCGUGAGUGAAGAAGGUCUUCGGAUUGUAAAGCUCUUUCGACGGGGACGAUGAUGACGGUACCCGUAGAAGAAGCCCCGGCUAACUUCGCGCCAGCAGCCGCGGUAA
rnacentral:rRNA from 1 species